UUUUUUCUUUGGCGUUGACUCGCACGGUCUUGGAUCUCAUCGAAGAACCCUAAUCCAAUCCGAAGGAAGAAACAUCUUCGUUGUUGUUGCGUCGCGUAUCGAUCGAUCCAAAAUAAACUAGCUUUGGCAGCUCCCGAACCAAAAUCCCACCUUAGUCUCAGGCCAUGCGAUGCUGGUCAUCGUUCUCCGCCAUCGCCCUCUCCCGAGAGGACUCCUUUUCUUUCGCCGCCGAUAAUUUCUCCGCUUCUUGCUUAGCUUCCUUCUGACGGAGAGAGAGGAUUUGUGUGUGUAAUUGUUG
rnacentral:lncRNA from 1 species